rnacentral:rRNA from 1 species
UACGUAGGGUGCAAGCGUUAAUCGGAAUUACUGGGCGUAAAGCGUGCGCAGGCGGUCCGCUAAGACAGAUGUGAAAUCCCCGGGCUUAACCUGGGAACUGCAUUUGUGACUGGCGGGCUAGAGUAUGGCAGAGGGGGGUAGAAUUCCACGUGUAGCAGUGAAAUGCGUAGAGAUGUGGAGGAAUACCGAUGGCGAAGGCGGCCUUCUGGACCAGUACUGACGCUCAUGCACGAAAGCGUGGGGAGCAAACAGG